rnacentral:lncRNA from 1 species
GUCAGUUUUACUGUUACUUCUUUUAAGUAAGUCAAAGAUGGUGUCGAAAAUGGUGAAAUCAAGAACUAGUGCUUAGAAUUAUGGAGAUUUAAAAACAGAAGAGACACCUCCCAGAGUUGCAAGUGGUCGCCUGUCCCAGAGAGCUGGUGAGAUGAGGUGGGGAGGUGGCAGCUGAGUUUUAUGGUGAGAAAGUGGAGUUCGAAGAUGUCAUCAGCCCAGGUCACACAGAUGGUGGAGACCAGUGUGGAGCCCGGGAGUGGGCUGAGCAGAGCAUCUGGACUUUGAGCUUCCAUCAGACCCUGAGAUAGUCACCUGUCCUGGCUGCCUGGUGACCCUGGUGUGCUAACGUGGCACUUAUCUUGCUCUAUGGAGGCCCCUGGGCCCCCUAAACACCAGGUGGGUGCCUUCAGCCAGCCCCAUACUGACCUGUGAAGCCCAGGUAUUGCUGGCCAACCCACCCCACUCACAGACAGAAGCAGUUCUCCAUCUUUUGGCUUUAGCAGAUCUGCUUCAUUUCUCCUCCCCACAAAGCCUGGACUUUGUUCUGGGGGUAUCCCUGUUUGCAGUGAAGCUUUUUCACUCAGUGCUCAAUCUGAGCCCAACUCCACCCCACAUCUCUGAUUCAUAGACUUUUGUGACUGCCUUGACCAGUAGAGUAUGGCAGAAGAUGCUCUGUAACUUCCCAGGCUAGAUCUAGAAAAUGCCACGCAUUUCUGCCUUGCUCUCCUGCGACAUCCACUCUUAGAACCCAGUUGCUGUGCUAAAAAGAACUCACAGACCACGUGGAGUGGAGCAGAUGGGUCAGUGUCCCAGGUGGCAGCCCGUGUCGGCCUCAGACCUGCACGUGAGGAUGCCCACCAGAGGGUUCCUGCCACCACCGUCAAGUCACCCCAGCCUUAAUCUUCCAGCCGGCGCCUCAGGCAUUAUGGGCAGAGGUAAACUGUCUCCAUGAUGCCCUUUCCAAAUUUCUGACCCACAGAAUCCAUGGCUAUAAUAAAAUGGCUGUCUUAUGUGCUCAAUUUUGGGG